rnacentral:rRNA from 1 species
GCAGCAGUGGGGAAUCUUAGACAAUGGGCGCAAGCCUGAUCUAGCGAUGCCGCGUGAGUGAYGAAGGUCUUAGGAUCGUAAAGCUCUUUCGCCAGGGAUGAUAAUGACAGUACCUGGUAAAGAAACCCCGGCUAACUCCGUGCCAGCAGCCGCGGUAAUACGGAGGGGGUUAGCGUUGUUCGGAAUUACUGGGCGUAAAGCGUACGUAGGCGGAUCAGAAAGUUUAGGUGAAAUCCCAGGCUCAACCCUGGAACUGCCUCCUAAACUAUUGGUCUAGAGUUCGAGAGAGGUAAGUGGAAUUCCGAGUGUAGAGGUGAAAUUCGUAGAUAUUCGGAGGAACACCAGUGCGAAG